rnacentral:misc_RNA from 1 species
GAUGAAGAACGCAGCGAAAUGCGAUAAGUAAUGUGAAUUGCAGAAUUCAGUGAAUCAUCGAAUCUUUGAACGCACAUUGCGCCCGCCAGUAUUCUGGCGGGCAUGCCUGUUCGAGCGUCAUUUCAACCAUCAAGCCCCAGGCUUGUGUUGGAGCCCUGCGGCUGCCGCAGCCUCCCAAAACCAGUGGCGGGCUCGCUAUCACACCGAGUGCAGUAGUUUACUCUUCGCUCAGGGCGUGUGGCGGGUGCUAGCCGUAAAACCACCAAUCUAUCAAGGUUGACCUCGGAUCAGGUAGGAAUACCCGCUGAACUUAAGCAUAUCAAUAAGCGGAGGA